UACUCGGAAACGAUCCCAUAAAUCAGAUUAAUUCGGUUGAAAAAGUCUACCACAUGUACCGCCAACCAAUCGUUCAUGCUUUCGCCGGCUGGUAGUCUGACUACAUCCCUCAGAUUGAUACCGGACUGUAGACUGGCGUGCGCCUGUUUGUGUAACGAGUAUCGAAUCGUUCCUUGCGUGAACCGUUUCUUCGGGCGAAACGUCUGAAAGAUAAAGUGGACGUAAAAUUUUGGAUGUUGCUAUUGUACAUCAAUUCGAAGUUGAACAAUGUUUUGAAAUCAAUGAAUUGCAAGAUUUACAAACAUGAUUUUGAACACUGAAAAUUUGGUAAUAUAGAUAAAUUCGUCCUCAAUAUGACAACGCAAAUUACCUUCUCACGUUGGAAAAACUCGAAAAAUCCAUUCAAAGCCAUUAUUUUCUGCAACUUCCGGUGCUGGUGCGACGGACCAAGGUUCCUAAAUCGAUCAACGUACUCCGGUUCGUCGUCGUAGGUGCGGAUGCUGGUGUUCAUUCCUCGUAACCGAAACGGAGCAGAUCCUUAUUUGGAGUAGGCAAAUCGACCCAUAUUGGGCGGUUUGCAGCGCAGAUGAUGAGUUUUCCUUUCGAUCCCGAUCCGAUGGAUGGACACAACAACAAAUAUAGACCAAUGACGCAAGACUUGCUGCAGCAAGGUGACGCUGAAAAAAUGGAUAAACGUAAAUAGUGCCACUUUGACCGAAACGCUUAGCAGCUAUUAGUGGGGAUUAUUCUGUGCCGCAGAGCCGAGGACGUUGAGUGGUUCCGAUUAACCGAGCUAGUGCGGAAGCCACACAAGUGUCCUGAAGUGAAACUGCGACUCGUUUUUACCCAGGUUCCAAAAGUAAACAAAAGAUAGCUUGAGAAUUUGCACUGCGCGGUUAUCGCCAGCCAGCUGCUGCUAAACCGAAAAAGAUAAAACGCGACGAAUUUCCCGAUAAAAAGGGAUCCUGAAAACAACAAAAAUGUCAAAAAAUGCUGCACAGAGAGAUGUGAGCCGUGACUACACGAUGAAGAAAUUAAACUCAUAUGGCACCUUAUAGUUAACACAUAACAGAGAUUUAUUAAACAAAUUCAUUCAAAUUUAAUGGUUCGAGCCAGCUCUGGAAAACAGAAAAAAAAAUUAAAAACAUCGCUCAAGGGACAUAUUAGUAUGUUUAAAUUACGUACCAGUGAAUGGGUCUGCAAAUUUUAUCAAACUGAGGAUACUUUAUACUUACAUAAAACAAUACAUUCGUUGAUUUUGUUCGGUUCCGGCGUGAACUUUUAUCUCGCAUCGCAUUUGAAUCCUUUUACCAUAAUCAACACAAUGCACCUCCUACAUGCUGCUGGGUAGUAACAAAAAAUUACUAAUCCAUGUCAUGCUUUCUGAACAAAUGCUAUGAAGCUUUUAAAACAUUAUUUUUCGAUGUACUUGAAAUAGCAGGUUUUAUUUUGUUAUUAUUGCGAAUUUUUGUCCCAUGAUUUCGGCAUACAUUGAAACUAUUUCAACGAUUCACACAAUUCGCUAGAACGAUAAGUUUAUUUCACAUCCAAACAUUUGCUUAGUAAUAGACGUUUUAAUUGCCCCCACCAGUAUACACUAGCAGGAAUUAUUGCUAUUCAUAAAAAAAAAUAAAUUAAACAUUAGCUUUGCGCGACCAUUUCAUGGUGGCAACAUAAAAUUGUCUUUUCUGUUUAGAGAUAGCACGUCACUGGUAACGAAUAAAUAGAUUUGAUUGCUGAAUCAUUGAACUAAAUGCUGAAACCGUAAUUAUGAAACGAUAAAACUUAAUAGUAAAUUAUUAUUAUAAAUGCAGAUUACCAGUAAUGGUGGUAGAGAAUUGUCGAAUAUGUAGGAAAUACCUAACGCGAACAGUUAUCGAGCUUAAUUCAAUACAUACCCUUGGAAUAUCCUGUAAGCAAUUUUCUUAGCCUAAAUGAACCUUGACAUAGUUGAGUAUCGUUGUUCGGGUUCCAGUACCGAAUAUCUGUACAGCCUUUUUGAAGUUUUCCACGAUUGCAACCGAUUCAGCGUCGAUCUGAAAUUCACCCUCGCACUUGGACUCGAUCACCAGCAAAUCCACCAGAUAGAAGCAGGCAACCACGUACUCCGGGCUCAUCAUGCCGAAGCGAUGUUCGCGGAUUUCGAUGAAUUCCUGCGCUAGCUUUUUCAGCGUUUUGAGGCACCGUUCGUCCAGCCCCGAAAACGACAAUUGUUUUCCGAUGCUACACUACCCCGCAACUCACUGAUGGCGUGCCCGUUCGAUACCAGCUGACCAAUAUGCCGAAAGAUGACUGCGCCGACGUAGAGAGACCAGUUUUCCUUAGACAUGAGAUUUAUGCGAUCUCCUAGUUCCUUGUAGAAUUUUGUGAAAUCGCUCAGGUAGAUUGAGAGCAUGUAUGCGGUCUAAAAUAUGUUAAUGUGAUGUAAUUAAGAAUUUAAUGUAUCCAACUACAC